ensembl:lncRNA
UACCUGAAUAAUCAAAGCCAUAUAUCUCUUCUACGAAACUGUGUAGUUUGUAUUGGCCACAGUACAUUUUAUUCCUUGUUCUACCGUAAUUUUCAUGUCUAGUGCCCACAAACCAACCACUUCCUGUAACAGAUGACCGCAUUCAAAAUGCCUGUUUCUCCAAUCCAGUUACUAUAAACUGAUUGACACCUAUUCUAUCCAAUAGUACUCAUUCUCAUGUUUACAAUGGUAUGCCCAUUGCCUGUCUUUGAAUAAUAUUACGGUGUGAUUGGUCCACGCGUAACCGAUGGUUCUCUGGUGCGCUUUCCAUGCGCCAGAGGAGUCAUUCCAAGCACAGGCUUUGCGCAUUCAACACAACACGUGGAGUUCGCCUAUGGACACAAUUGGAACAGCUGGAUUGUGUCCUAGACAUGACAUUCUCUAACUUUGGAGGACAAGUUCCCUGUGCCUUUAGCUGCAAAGGUAAAAUGGUCUUAUGUUUAUCAUGUGAACCAUCUUUUCCAUUAAGUAGUGGUUUGGGGUGGCCAUUAUGUGUGCUAACUUCUGUACACACUAACUUCUGUACACAUGCUUCCAAUCCAUCAGGUACUGACGCAACAGAUCCGCAAUGCUGAGGCCAACAAAGACUCGGUCAUGAUCAGCAUUGGAAGUUGUCGUGCCACGUUUCGCGACUUAGACAGUCUGGCAGGCCCAGAGUUCAACUGGCUGAUUUAUGAUGUAAGUAAAACGUACAAAUACAUUUUUAUUCUACUUUUUUCCUAUCAUGUUGUCAUUACAUUUGUUUUUCUUUCUUAUAGAUUGUAAAUACGCGCAUUGCAGUGAUUGUUGCAGAUCACAAACAACUUUCCACUCAUUGCCAAGGGUCGUCAGGCUACCUUCCACUGCAGAGGGGCAGAGAGAGGUAUCGGAGGGUUUUGCCCGACUGGCUAGGCAUGGGGCUUUUGCCAGGGCCAUGGGAGCCAUUGACGGCUGCCAUGUUCGUAUCAAAUCCCCGGGAGAGCCCCAAGGCCAGGAUUAUUUCAAUAGGAAAUUGUUCCCGUCUAUACAGCUGCAGGUGGUGUGUAACCAUGCCGGGAGGUUUAUUGAUGUGUUUGUGGGUUAUCCAGGUUGUGUCCACGACGCCCGGGUCCUGAGGCACAGCCCCCUGUUCCGGUCUGCCGUGUACCCACCCCCUGGUACCUUCUUGUUGGGGGAUGGGGGAAAUGGGCCUCAUCAGACAACCCCAUCACACCAUUCAAGAAUCCGCUCAGGGGAGUGGCACAACAGAGGUUGGUACAUUAAAAUAUGUGAUUUUAAUCGCAAUGUCACAGAGAUUAAUUAGAGUAAUUACAUGUCAUUAAUUUUUUUCCCAACACUUACUUGUAGGUUUUAACGCGCAUCAUGCCAGAGCUCGUUCGGUCAUUGAGCGGGCUUUUGGCAUAAUGAAGACCAGGUGGAGGUUCGUCUUUUUCUGUGCCUUGGAGGUGGACGUCUCAUUUGUGCCAGAUGUCAUUGUGUGUUGCACUAUGCUUCAGAAUGUAUGUCUGGGCAAUGAUGAUGUCCUACCGGUGGAUGAGGAGGACCCUGAAGAGCCCGUCGAGGGAGAGGACCCAUGGCGAAACAACAAGUGGUAGUGCCCUGCGAGACAGCAUUGCAGAUCAGCUGUCCGCACUUCAGUGUCUUCCACCGGAACACGAUUAUUGUUGAUAAAUUGUUGUACAGUUCUUUGAUUAAUAAAGUGUUGUAUACUUCUUUGAUUGUAUAUUGU